rnacentral:rRNA from 1 species
GACGAACGCUGGCGGCGUGCUUAACACAUGCAAGUCGAACGGUGAAGCGCCUUCCUUUUUGGUGGGUGUGGAUGAGUGGCGAACGGGUGAGUAACACGUGAGUAACCUGCCCCCUUCUUCUGGAUAACCGCAUGAAAGUGUGGCUAAUACGGGAUAUUCUGGGUCUGUCGCAUGAUGGGUCUGGGAAAGAUAUUGUUUCGGUGGGGGAUGGGCUCGCGGCCUAUCAGCUUGUUGGUGGGGUGAUGGCCUACCAAGGCGGUGACGGGUAGCCGGCCUGAGAGGGUCGGCGGUCACACGGGGACUGAGACACGGCCCAGACUCCUACGGGAGGCAGCAGUGGGGAAUAUUGCACAAUGGGCGCAAGCAUGAUGCAGCGACGCCGCGUGAGGGAUGGAGGCCUUCGGGUUGUGAACCUCUUUCGCCAGUGAAGCAGGCCUGCCUCGUUUGUGGGUGGGUUGACGGUAGCUGGAUAAGAAGCGCCGGCUAACUACGUG